UCCGUAUAGCUUUCUAUUAUUGAAGCUUAAUAUCAAUCUAUCCAAGAGUGAAAAAGGAAGUCCACGGUCUCCUCUGCAAUGAGCUUUGAAAGAUGCACCUAGUACGUUCGCCUAGGAAAACUCUGAUAGGCUAAUUAUGAUAUUUGCAUUAGCUUUUUUCUGAAGAAAAUGCGCCAUAGGUCCGUUAUCAUGAGUAUUCUAUCCAGGAUUCUUAACACUUAUGCGACAGGCUUAGAUCGCUAGUUCUAGCGAUGCAUAAAUUCUACGCGAAUUCAUACAACAGUACAGAGAGAAGGAGAAGGCUUUCAAAGCGAGGAGAGCUUCACCGUGUGAUUAUCUCACUAACAGAUGGCGCUUCCAGCUUUUUUUUGCAAUUUUUAGAAUGCAUCAGUCGUUUACCGUCUGCUAAACGAAAUCUUUUUAGAUUCCUUUUAGUUUGAGAGUUUGAGAUUUGUUUCACUUGGGUGAGCUUUUUAACGUAAAUGUUUAAAUUGAUGGUGAGGUAGACCGUUCGCCGGCGAACCGAAACGAUACUUGCUUUUUAUAAACGCCCCACACGAAAACAUAAAAUAUUCACAAUAAACUGGAUUGCUAUAAAUCAAGAAUUUCAGAGCCCAAAAAUACAUUUUUCAAUACAAAAUGUUGAACACCAACGAAACAUACAGCUAUCAUAAACAAAAUUGAAACAAACGAUAUUCUUCAACAAACUUCUACUGAAAUGUUGAGAAUAUUAAGAGCUACCCGUCACAUAAAAUGGUUGCAUGUGUGAACUGUGCUGUUGAGAUCUUUCAGACAUUGGAAAUCGAAUGUUUAUAUGAAGCACAACUUCCCACGUAAAAUGCUUCAAAUUGUUGCCUAUAGAAAGUAUAAGACAAUCAGUAAACGUGAAUAUUCCAUGAUGAAUUUCCAACACAACUCUCAAUAAAGAAACUUUUUGCUUCAUUUCUUGAUUGAACAAAAACACACGAAUUUGUACGCUACAUUCUACACAUUUUUUAUUCAAAACAUAACUUUUAUAGUAACUAUCUUCAUCCCAAGCAGUUGGUCAGCUUGCAGCCAACGGUGAUGGCCGUUUUGACGCCUCCCCACAACUUUUUCCAGAAUCCACGACCUCCCAUUGCCUCGACUGCGGCGGCCUCCUCCGGAGUAAGCUCCAGCACGAGCUGGGUGUUAGCACUAGCUCCAUCAGUAUUGGUAGUGGAAGCAGCGGCGGCCUCCUCAGGCUGAGGCAGUGCCUGGGAGACGGCGAACACCGCGAACAGAGCGAUCAGGACGAAGGCGAAGGUGAACUUCAUGUUGGCUGCUUGGUUGGCUUCUUG